GACGAACGCUGGCGGCGUGCCUAAUACAUGCAAGUAGAACGCACAGUUUAUACCGUAGCUUGCUACACCAUAGACUGUGAGUUGCGAACGGGUGAGUAACGCGUAGGUAACCUGCCUGGUAGCGGGGGAUAACUAUUGGAAACGAUAGCUAAUACCGCAUAAUAUUAAUUAUUGCAUGAUAAUUAAUUGAAAGGUGCAAUUGCACCACUACCAGAUGGACCUGCGUUGUAUUAGCUAGUAGGUGAGGUAACGGCUCACCUAGGCGACGAUACAUAGCCGACCUGAGAGGGUGAUCGGCCACACUGGGACUGAGACACGGCCCAGACUCCUACGGGAGGCAGCAGUAGGGAAUCUUCGGCAAUGGACGAAAGUCUGACCGAGCAACGCCGCGUGAGUGAAGAAGGUUUUCGGAUCGUAAAGCUCUGUUGUAAGAGAAGAACGGGUGUGAGAGUGGAAAGUUUACACUGUGACGGUAUCUGACCAGAAAGGGACGGCUAACUACGUG
rnacentral:rRNA from 1 species